GGGAUUACAGGCUUGAGCCACCGCGCCCGGCCCAUCACGGUCUUGAUGGUAAUGAAAACCCACUCACUUCUUUGCCUGGUGGUCUGACCAAUGGCCCCUAUAUGUCCUGCCUGAAGCUCCAGGGACUAGCUCCAGAACAUGCUGGAAGGAGGGCUUGGCUCUCUGCCAUAAAUUACAAAUUAUCUUAUGGGCAUCCCAUCCACCCAUCCAUCCAUUCUUUCAACAUGUGCUUGUUGAGUACCAGCUCUGUGCCAGGUCCAUACAGACAGUCUGUGCCUGGAGGGAGCCUGUAGUCUUGCUGGGAGACAAAGAUGGGUUAUCAGGAGAAUGCAAUGCAGCGUGACAUGUGCUGUGAUAUCCAGGGCACUUUGCAGGGGACCUGAUCCUGUCUGUGAUGAGAGUUCACAAAGAAAGUGCGGUCUUAGGGCUUGAAAGGUAAACAAGACUGAACCAGUAGAGUAAGGAGGAGGAGUCAGGGACAAUAUGCUUACAAGAAGCAAGAGCAUGGGAACUGCCUGGAGAUUUUUCAAACUGCAGGACCCAAAUGAGGAUCUGAAAACAAUUGAGUCUGGCAUAUUGUUGACUGCAGGCAGGAGUGGUGAGGGCUGAGGUGGAAGAGGAAAGAGAGAACUGGAUCUUAUAGGGACAUUUUUAGGCACCUUUUGAGCACCUCGCAAGUUGCAGAGGGGGGUGGAUUUGAACACGUAUAAAACAAAUUUUGUGGCUGGGCACGGUGGUUCCCGCUUGUAAUCCCAGCAUUUUGGGAGACUCAGACGGGCGGAUCACGAGGUCAGGAGAUUGAGACCAUCUUGGCUAACACGGUGAAACCCCAUCUCUACUAAAAAUACAAAAAAAUUAGCUGGGCAUGGUGGCACGUGUCUGUAGUCCCAGCUACUCAGGAGGCUGAGGCAGGAGAAUCGCUUGAACCCAGGAGGCGGAGGUCACAGUAAGCAGAGAUCGCGCCACUGCACUUCAGCCUGGGGCACAGAGCAAGACUCUGUCUCAAAAAAAAAAACAAAAAAAAAACUGUGGACCCAUUUGGAGAGACUAUGGAAGAUGAAAGGAACGGUCAGAGCACCUGGAGUCAGAUUUGGGGUCCCGGAUCCUCAGAGCUGUAAAUACGAUGCCCAACCCCGAGUCCACCCCUCCCUACUGACUCAGGGUAUGCCAGCCACCCAGGAGGGCGCUUCUUUUCAAGGGAGAGCGGUCUUCUUGAAAACAGCCCCAUGCGCCUCCCUAGCCCGCUAUCCUGUGAUCCUCUCUUAAGAUGUUCUUAAGAACAUCUCUUCUUCCUCAAUCAAGGAUUUGAUGACUGUCACCGCCCAUACCCUAUCUUCUCUCCUCUAGGUUGGGCGGUCUCAGGUCUUAGAAAUCAUUCCUGGCUGGGUACGGCGCCUCACGCCUGUCAUCCCAGCACUUUGGGAGGCCAAGGCGGGCGGAUCACGAGUUCAGGAGAUCGAGACCAUCCUGGCUAACAUGGUGACAACCUGUCUCUACUAAAAAUACAAAAAAUUAGCCGGGCUUGGUGGCUGCCGCCUGUAGUCCCAGCUACUUGAGAAGCUGAGGCAGGAGAAUGGCGUAAGUAAACCAAGAGGUGGAGCUUGCAGUGAACCGAGAUUGCACCACUGCACUCCAGCCUGGGCGACAGAGCGAGACUACGUCUCAAAAAAAAAAAAAA
ensembl:lncRNA